rfam:Bacteroides fragilis NCTC 9343, complete genome
UAUAUUUGUCGCCGAAUUGGUUCGGAAUCCGUGGUCAACGGACGAAGAUUAAAAGGGAAUCGGGUGUAAAUCCCGGACAGUCCCGCUGCUGUGAAACUCUGUAUAGCAUCUUAUCAAUCAGCCAAUUUCGUACCACUGACAGAAAAAGCAAACUCUGUCGGGAAGGUCCCGGUAAGAUGUAGAGUCAGUCAGAAGACCUGCCAUUCGUGAAUAAGAGCA